AAAUUGGUGGAGAGAAAUGGUGGAGGGGGGAAACAAAGGGGGAUAAAAUAUUCUCCCUUUGUUUCUAAGUUUCGAGGCAGUAGCCGCUUAGAUUUUCUUGGUUUGCUGUUCCUAUUUGAAUUUUGUGGAAGAAGAAUCGUUGUACUCUCAAGCUCGUCGUCCCAGAACGCUGCUCCAAAGAAGGUAACUUCCUCUCUUCUCCUAUCUCAUAUUGGUUGCUUUUACACUCAAUGAAUUUAUUGUGUUUGAAUUCGGUUAAUCUGUGAACUAAGACAGCAAUGGCAAUAUACAUGUUUUCCAUGCAUUUUCAUAUAUGUAUUGUUGAUGACUUUGUUUUAUUACUGCUAUAUAUAUAUAAAAUUUUAUUCAUUGUCUUUUGUAUCAUAUGCAUGUUAUUCCAUAUUCAUGAAAGUAUUCCAUUCAUCUUAUAUGUCGGGAUCUAAUGGGAACUUAAAUUUUGGUUUAAAUUUCCUAGGCAUGUUGUUUCCUUUAAAGUUAUGUUCUCUAUUCAAAUUUAUAAAUUCCGUGUCAUAGUCUUUGCAUAAUUUCCUUUCUCAUUCAUUUAUUAUUAUGGGAUUUUCAUUUAACUUCAACUUGGGAUUUACUCGUUGUAUGGUUCUGUUUUUGUUUUUAACGGUUUGAUGUCUUCUUCAUGACUAAAGUUGGGAAGAAUCAAUAAUGGUUUUGCUGGAUGAAAAAUUAUGUUCACUGUUUGUUCAUUGAAGUGUGAAUAUGAAUAUUUAGCAUUUGUUCUUUUUUUUUCUGAUUUUGUUUUUCUCAUGUUUCUUUAAAAUGCCUGAAACUUUCAGUGUAUUUAGUUCAUCUUCCUUGUUGUUUUAACUCCCUAAGAGGCUUGUAAUUAUUGGUGAUGUUUGUCACCCCUUAAGGUUUGUGAUUAAGCAAUCUGCUUCCUUUCCUCUUCCUCUUUGUUUGUUAAGAAUUGUCAUUUGGAGGUUAAAUUUAGUUAAUAUUAUUGGUACUUAUAUGUGUUUUGUGGAUAGUGUUUCUUCAUGUCCAAAUUGUUGAGUUCUAGUUGUGAUAAGUAUUAGAAAACAUUUAUUUGUGUCGUCAUUGUGAUGUUUUGGAGUCUGAAAAUAGCAUAAAGAUAUGGAUCUUUAUUUUCCUACAUUACAUCAUAUAA
rnacentral:misc_RNA from 1 species